rnacentral:rRNA from 1 species
GUGGGGAAUAUUGGACAAUGGGCGCAAGCCUGAUCCAGCCAUGCCGCGUGAGUGAUGAAGGCCUUAGGGUUGUAAAGCUCUUUCAGUGGGGACGAUAAUGACGGUACCCACAGAAGAAGCCCCGGCUAACUUCGUGCCAGCAGCCGCGGUAAUACGAAGGGGGCUAGCGUUGUUCGGAUUUACUGGGCGUAAAGCGCACGUAGGCGGAUCGUUAAGUCGGGGGUGAAAUCCUGGAGCUCAACUCCAGACCUGCCUUCGAUACUGGCGAUCUUGAGUCCGGAAGAGGUGAGUGGAACUCCUAGUGUAGAGGUGGAAUUCGUAGAUAUUAGGAAGAACACCAGUGGCGAAGGCGGCUCACUGGUCCGGUACUGACGCUGAGGUGCGAAAGCGUGGGGAGCAAACAGGAUUAGAAACCCUUGUAGUCC